CAUGUUUGGUUUUUAUGAAUACUCGUGCCAGCCACGCAUAAAUUCCUUAGCGCGAAAAUCCCUAGCAAAACCGUGUGGCGAGAAAUAAAAUUUUGAAAUGCAAAAGAAAAUACCGUACGGCAUUUUGAUACGGCCAUUACAAUUACAAACCACGCGGAAGAUGUGUCGAACCGAUCACAAAGUCAACAAGCAGCGGUAAAUACCCUCGUGGAAACGUUACAGAACCAAAUGAAAUCGUCCGCAGCACGAUUGGCACGCUCUCAACCAUCUAACUAUAUACGCAAAUGCAUAUGUAUAUGUGUAUGUUGUAUCUCAUCGAUUCUUUCACCUUCACGAAGGUUAACGAGUGAGAUGCAGCCAGCCAUUUGUAAGGAUUUAAUCAAAAGUGAACGGCCUAAUGCGAAAACGUUAAUCACAAAUACAUACAUAAUUCGAAAGUAUUCCUCUCUUCUUUUAUAAUAUGCAAUCUUUUAGAUAUACAUCGUACCGAACAAAAGUCUGUAAUUAAGUGUUGCAUUCUUAAGGUAGAGAGACGAAGUUCGAAAAUCAACAUUAAAGCCGUAUCGAUUCUAAAUUUCAUUACGCAACGUAGCGUAAUUUUAACCACACAUAAUUAUCUAACGAUGAAAUUCCUCUUAAGAUGAAAUGCUCAACUUUUUCGUUAUACGAGUACAAUAUUGGUAACAGCUGUCUACAGUAUACUCGAAAAAAUGUAAUUUCACGUUGAACCCACGUAUUUCAAUAUUGUACAUUUAUCAUCAGUGAGUCAGAAUACAUCAUGAGUGGAUUUGUUUUAAGAAUACACUUAACCAUCGUCGUCGUUUUCCUCUUUCGUAUUUCAUUCGACGUGCGAACGAAAAAUACUUAAAUACCAGUUACACGACAAUAAUUCAGCAGAAAGUUUUAGCUCUACUAAAGUAACGUACUGAGUCGAUAAAGAAGAACACACCCUUUUCAAUGUUACAUAGCAGAAGAGAAAAAGAAAGAAAUUUUUAAUAAAAGGUCGUUGCACGAAUACGAUGUUAAUUAGCUGUUCCAAUUAGAUAGCAGAUUUGGCGCGAUACAAUAAAAAAAUUUGAUGUGUACCGAAUAUUUCCUCGCGAGCUAUAAAUGGAAACAGUGACAGAACCGCGCGAUAUGUUUGGUUUAAAAAUAUACGUUCAGUUGUGUCUUCGAUU